GCUCAGCCUAGAAAAGCCAACCCUCAGCCAACCUUCAGACUUCUGACCAUCCUGGAAGCAGUGCCCCAGGGAAAUGCGGAAUCUAGACCACAUGGAGCAUUAGCACCAAUCAAUUGCCAAGAAGUGAAAAGCAGGAGGGGAGUAUUUCGGUUGAUGAAGCCAAAAAAGUAGAAGUCACCCUCCAUUUCUGCCUUUUCCCUACCUCCACUUGCC
rnacentral:lncRNA from 1 species